rnacentral:misc_RNA from 1 species
CUGGUGCCACGCCCCAUCUCCAACGGCACCUGGCCAAGCUUCCCUCAUCUCCCUCAAGCUCGCCAUGGAGCUUCGUUUCCCCAUGUCGUGCCCCAGCUCCUGCUUCUUCCCCUGCUCGGCGUCCGGUCCCGGCUCGCCCGAGCUCCCUGCGCGUCUAGCUCGCCAACUUGUUCCUCCCUGCGCGCUAGCCGCUGUGCGCCCGGAUCAUGCUUCUCCCUGCUAGCCGCGUUUUUCUCUCCCUUCCUUUCUUCUUUGCCGUGCUCGCCAUGGCCCCCUGUUGUAGCUCGCCCCAACACCAAGCUUGCCCCUGCGCGUGCUCCAAUUUUGUUCUUAGCCCCGCGCAUCCUCCCAUGGCGCUUGGCUUCUCCAGCCAUCGAUGCUCGCCUUCCUGUGCCGCGUCGUUCUCUGGAGGGUCCGAAUCCAUCUCUAGUCCGAGCGCUCCUCCCUACUUCUCUGCUGCGCGCUCUCAUCUUCUUCCCCAGCACCACCGCUCAGCUCGCCCCCAUGUUCGAAGGCAGCAGUCCCUGCUCGGAUUUCGCCAUGGUCGCGCCCAACUCCCUGCACGCCGCGGGCUCGCUUCACCCGGCCGCGUCGAGCUCUCUGCUCCAGCUCACUGAGUUUUCCCUCUGUUCGGUGUUUCGCCUAGCCGCCAUGCGCCGUGAAGCUCCCUGGCUGCGCGCACGCGUGCUUCACUGUUUGGUUGUCGUCGCGCCCAGCCUGGAUUCCAGCGUCCCUCCGUGCUCUGAUUUUCUAUCUUCGCGUCGAUGUGCAAGCGCCUUCGUGUUCGCAUCCCUUGGGCCUGUUUCGCCUUCGCGCGACACCGGCUGCGAGUUGAAGUUAAUUUCGCCGAGUUACUCGGAUGAAGUCCGAUCGGUGUUGAGAAUUCGUCAUGUGGUGGUGUGCGUGAAACUCAUAUAG